rnacentral:rRNA from 1 species
UAUGGCCAUAUCACGUUGAAACAACCGUUCUCGUACGAUCACCGAAGUUAAGCAAUGCCAUGUCUGGUCAGUACCUACAUGCGUAAUCGCUUUAGAAUGCCAAGUGCUGUAAG